GAAAAUGGGCAGCAAAGGAAGAGGAAAUGAAGAGUGGUGAAACAAGUGUUGGAAGAAAAGGAGUGGGGGUGAAGAAGCAACACAAAGAGAUCUGAUGCACAGGGCUUUUAGAGAUACUUAGAAUCUUCAGCUGCUGAGAGCAGGGUCUUGUACAAGAUGAUACAGAGGCACACAAUAAAGGACUGCUGGUCCCAGGAGCCUGGCAAGCUAAGCAAGGGGAGAGAAGAAAUAUCACCACUGUUUUACAAAUGGAAAUAUGGAAAACCAGAGCUCUGAGAAUCUGUGCAACUCAUUGCAGUGUCACACAGCAAUAUUGGCAAGGGAAUUCUGUCAAAGUCCAGAAUCAGUGCAUACUAAAGACCCUGUAAUCCUGGGGAAGCGGUAGCAAGCAGGGGGUAUUCACUCAAGACCAAGCACUGGAG